AGUGCGGACGCCAGUCUGCACGGAGCCGCUGUUGGGAUACCACCCUUCCGGCACCGGGUUUCUAACCCGCGCCCGUAACCCGGGCGGGGGACAAUGCCUGGCGGGGAGUUUGACUGGGGCGGUCGCCUCCGAAAGGGUAUCGGAGGCGCUCAAAGGUUCCCUCAGAAUGGACGGAAACCAUUCGGAGAGCGCAAAGGCAUAAGGGAGCCUGACUGCGACACCGACGGGUGGAGCAGGUACGAAAGUAGGACUUAGUGAUCCGGUGGCAUAAAGUGGGAUUGCCAUCGCUCAACGGAUAAAAGCUACCCUGGGGAUAACAGGCUGAUCACUCCCAAGAGUUCACAUCGACGGAGUGGUUUGGCACCUCGAUGUCGGCUCAUCGCAUCCUGGGGCUGUAGCAGGUCCCAAGGGUUGGGCUGUUCGCCCAUUAAAGCGGUACGCGAGCUGGGUUCAGAACGUCGUGAGACAGUUCGGUCCCUAUCCGGCGCGGGCGUAGGAUAACUGAGGGGAGCUGUCCUUAGUACGAGAGGACCGGGAUGGACGGACCGCUGGUGUACCUGUUGGCGACCAACGCCACGGCAGGGUAGCCAAGUCCGGCAGGGAUAAACGCUGAAGGCAUCUAAGCGUGAAGCCUCCCCCGAGAUGAGUUGUCCGCUGCGUAAGCGGUAAGACCCCUUGAAGACUACAAGGUAGAUAGGGCAUGGGUGUAAGUGCAGCAAUGUAUUAAGCUGAAUGCCACUAAUAGGUCGAAAGCUUAUCCUG
rfam:Lachnospiraceae bacterium COE1 genomic scaffold acPFN-supercont1.1, whole genome shotgun sequence.